rnacentral:lncRNA from 1 species
AUCCGCCCCCAGCUCUUAGAAAACCCAGGACCAGUUCCUUCCUGGCCUUCGGGGUCCCAUCAAAGCAGGCCUGAGCAGACUGACCCCUUUUACGAUUGGGGGCAGGGGUGGCCAGAGGGAGAGGAAAUCAAAGGAGAACUAAACGCUGGAUCUUCAGUACACGGGAAGGGUAGGAUUCACUCCCAGAGGUCGAAGAACAGAGAGGAGAGAAUUCUCCCACAUGCCCCACCCUUCUGGGGCCUUCCUGACCCCACUCUGCCCUCCUCCUAGCUCCGCCUCUGCCAGCUACUUUGGGGGACUAGGUUGGGAUUCUCCACUUUUACCGAAGGCCUUCCAUGUGUCUAACUGCAGUUCUCUCUGUUGCAAGUUAAGCCGGAACUGAAAGACCAGAAACCAGCCUGCCCUAGUCAAAGAAAGUUAGGGCCCAACCAGCCUCUCCCCAAGAAGCAGGGUAAGGUGGGGCAUUCAUCUCUCUGGACCCUUUUCCCCAGCCUGAGCCAGCCUUUGGGGGUAGGGAGGAGGUCCCAGGGAAGAACCUGGUUGCCAAAGUCUCGGCCAGUUGGAGAAGAGAUGGGUCUCCCGAGGAUACCCAAGCCCAAGCUCUACACUGUCCCAAGGUGGUUUGUUUUUCUUCUUUCUUCUAUUGGUCUGGACCUUGUAUAUUCUGGGAGGAGGUGAUUAAGGCCAAAUUGCCUUAAGUGGCCAUCCAGCCAGAAGCUGGAAGAAGGGAAGGAUGAGAGGGAAUGAACUGUUGUGUUACGGCUAUUGAGAGAAACAGUGGCAAUACACAGCCAAAGCCCUGAGUUUCUAAUACGGCGCCACCUCUUAUGAGCUGUGAGAUCUUGGGCAAAGUAACUAACCUUUAAGUAUUUGUCUGUAGAAUUGAGAUUGAAAUACUUAUCUUUGCCAGAAUUGUUAUAAGAAUUAAAUGAGUUGAAAGUGUUUCAUCAAGUGUGCAAUGCUACUCAAGUAGGAGGGACUAAGCUACUUCCUUCUCUCACUGCUUGACUGAGCUUCUCUCCAGCCCCACCCCCUGAUGUUUACUGCUUAUGGAGAAAGAGAUUAAGUGAAGCAGGCCCACACAUUCAUGAAGGUGGAAGGAAGAUGUAGCAGGAGAUGGUGGAGAGGGAAACAGAGGAAGACAGGAUGACAGACGUGGGGAGGAAAGGCUGAGCGAGGCAAUGUCCUGACUCACUCUGGCGCUUCCCUCUUUCCCAUCUGGGCUCCAGAGUCUCUGCCCUCAUUCCCCUUCACCAGGUUGCUCAACCCUCCAUCAGACUGUUAGGUCAAGGGUGGACAAACAGACCAACCGGGAUCUGGAUGGCCCCUGGGCAGUACUGACUUCCCCUACCAUUCCCAUGGCAAGAAAAGGGAGUGAUUCCACUAGCAGACUCCCCUACCCUGCAGUGAGACAGCCUGUAGGAAGGUGAGACUCAGACCCCAAGGUUUCUGCUUUUGCUUUGUUCCUUCGAGAUCUCCAUUCCCCCAUGGGAGAGAAACCUCUCUGUCCCACCUGCCCUCCCCUCCCAUCAGCUUUCAGAUUCUCCAGCUGCUCCUCUUCUGAGACUCACCCAGUCUCAUGCCUCCAUUAGCCUCAACUCCCGACCCAUGGCCUGUGGUGAGAGGUGCUAACAACAUGACCUGCUUUCAUCUUGACCUUCCCAGCCCACCCAGAGAAAAGGGAAUCUUGGCUAAAAAAAGGCUGGAAGAGGGGAGAACCCUGGCACUGCGGGUGGGGCUGGGAGGAGCCCAGGCAACCUUACUGGUGAGAAUCUCAUGGCUCUUCAAGGUGAAUAUGAUGAUGAUUUCCCUGGGGUUUCUUUCAAUACUCAGAAGCCGCCCCGAGUUGGAAAGCACAUGCAUACUUGGGGAGGCCAGGGGAGGAAAAGGGGGGCGGCUCACUCUGACAGUAAAUGAAGAAAGUGGAAACAAAUUCAAGGAGCAGGCAGAGCUCCCGGUUUCACCAGAGCCCAACGGUUGGUAAUAAGGAUGAGAACAAUGUGCCUUCACUUCCUGGGAUCAGAACAGCACAUGGCCGCACAUGUACGGGUAUGCAUGUGCUUCCAUAAUCAUAUACUUUCCCAGCUUCUACUCUGCCUGUGGUCUAAUUUCAACUCCUUCAGCUG